rnacentral:rRNA from 1 species
AUUGAACGCUGGCGGCAGGCCUAACACAUGCAAGUAGAACGAGUGGCGGACGGGUGAGUAAUGUCUGGGAAACUGCCUGAUGGAGGGGGAUAACUACUGGAAACGGUAGCUAAAACCGCAUACCAUAGGCUGUGCCCAGAUGGGAUUAGCUAGUAGGUGGGGGAAAGGCUCACCUAGGCGACGAUCCCUAGCUGGUCUGAGAGGAUGACCAGCCACACUGUAACUGAGACACGGUCCAGACUCCUACGGGAGGCAGCAGUGGUGAAUAUUGCACAAUGGGCGCAAGCCUGAUGCAGCCCUGCCGCGUGUAUGAAGAAGGCCUUCGGGUUGUAAAGUCCUUGCCUCGGUGAGGCGUUACCCGCAGAAGAAGCACCGGCUAACUCCGUGCCAGCAGCCGCGGUAAUAC